UGGAGGAGGGAGGCACAAGGGGGUGCAAGUGAUUCAGAUCCUCAUUCUCAAUAUCCUUAUCUGCCAAAUUAGGGAGCCUGUCUUUAUCUCUAGGAUCUGUCUUUCUAGGCUUAUGACAAAUUCCUCACAUGACAACAGGGGAAUCCUAGAGCUAAGUUUCUUUCCUCAUUCGUUUGUGCUCAGAGCUACAAGGACACCCCCUUUCCACUAUGGAUAACCAGGUGAUCUGCUGUGUGGCCCUUUGUCUCCUUGGAGCAGGCACCAUAGAUGGUGGGAUCACUCAGACCCCAAAAUACCUGUUCAAAGAGGAAGGGCAAGAGGUGACCUUGGAAUGUAAACAGGAUUUCAACCACGACUCCAUGUACUGGUACCGACAGGACCCAGGACAAGGGCUGAGAGUGAUCUACUUCUCACUGGCUGUACCGGAUGUUCAGAAAGCAGACAUAGCUUCAGGCUACAAUGCCUCUCGGGAGAAGAAGGCAUUCUUUCCUCUUACUGUGACAUUGACGCAGAAGAACCAGACAUCUCUGUAUCUCUGUGCCAGCAGUAUUGACACAGUGAAGCAAAGCCGCCUCCUCUGUGCACAUAAAUAGGUCCUAAGCCCUGCUUCCCCACCAGGUGGUGGGGUUUUCUGUUUUCAGAACCCUGAUCAACCCACUUUCUUCUUCCUCAACCAGGUGUCCAAAGCAGCUGCUGGAGCAACAUGCUUUGUGGAAUGGCAGAAUUGUCCAGCUUUAUGAAAUACCCCUAAGUUGAUUUUUUAAAUGGCAUGUAUCUAUGUAGCUCUAUCUCUACAUCAGAGAGAUAGGAGGGAGGAGAGAUUAAUUUUACCACCCAGCUCUUUCUCUCGAAUAUUUAGAAAAUAAAAGUGACCAGAAAAUGGUCCUUUCCUUCAGAAAGAUAAUAAAAGCCUAGUGGGGAGAGAAAUGUGUAGAAACACUGUAAUCCAGAAUCACAUAAUGUGCGCUUUUAUUGAUAUCACUGGAUGGUGACAUCAGGAAGGGCUUCAGAGAAAAGGCAAAAUGUGAGAUGAAGCUCUAAUAAUGAGUAGGAUUUUGCCAAACGGACAAGCACAGGCUUAGGGAACUGUGGCGAGAGAGAAUCAUGAGAUAAAAUCAGGAGUAGAUGAUUGCUUCCACCCCUCCUCCCCACAAUAUGGCAAUAGGAGGAAAUUUGGAAAAAUGCGUGGAGCAAAGUUAAGCAAAAUUUCUGGUGGACCUUCCUUGGAUGUGUGUGUGUGUGAAAGUCCAAAGCAGGCUCUUGUGAACGCAGGGCUGGCACCAGAAGAGAGUCUGGCUUGAGAGAAACAUUUGCGUGACGAAUAAGCAGACAGGGGGUCGGUGCUAUUUUGCAGAUGGUCUUUAUGUUUUCGGUAUAUUCUUUUCCUUUGGGGUCUGUCACCUGUCACAUGCGGAGGGAAGUGGUGCUCAUUCUUGGGACAUCAUUUUGUCACAAAUCACAUAAUUCUGUUUCUAGAAAUGAAUGACAGUCUGCAUUAUUCAGACUAACCCUCCCAUUACAUACAGCUGAAAAUGCUGGAUUAAGUAUAGGUUUUAAAUAAUUCUGGAGUUGCCGUCAUGGUGCAGCAGAAA